rnacentral:rRNA from 1 species
AACGAACGCUGGCGGCGGGCCUAAUACAUGCAAGUCGAACGAGAAAGCACCUUCGGGUGUGAGUAGAGUGGCGCACGGGUGAGGAACGCGUAGGUGAUCUACCUUUUGGCGGGGAAUAACUAGAAGAAAUUUUAGCUAAUACCGCGUAAGCAGUUUUGUUUGAAGACUUAACUGGAAAGAAUGCCUCUGCAUAUGCAUUCACCGAAAGAUGAGCCUGCGUGACAUUAGCUUGAUGGUGGGGUAACGGCUUACCAUGGCGACGAUGUCUAGCUGGUCUGAGAGGAUGAUCAGCCACACUGGAACUGAGACACGGUCCAGACUCCUACGGGAGGCAGCAGUAGGGAAUAUUGCGCAAUGGGGGAAACCCUGACGCAGCCACGCCGCGUGAGUGAGGAAGGCCUUCGGGUUGUAAAGCUCUGUCAGAAUGGAAAAAUGGUUUAGGGUCUAAUAGGCCCUAGAUUUGAUGGUACAUUCAAAGGAAGCACCGGCUAACUUCGUGCCAGCAGCCGCGGUAAUACGAAGGGUGCAAGCGUUGUUCGGAUUUAUUGGGCGUAAAGCGCACGUA